GAUGAACGCUGGCGGCGUGCUUAACACAUGCAAGUCGAACGAAGCACCUUGAUUUGAUUCUUCGGAUGAAGAUCUUGGUGCCUGAGUGGCGGACGGGUGAGUAACGCGUGGGUAACCUGCCUCAUACAGGGGGAUAACAGUUAGAAAUGACUGCUAAUACCGCAUAAGACCACAGCACCGCAUGGUGCAGGGGUAAAAACUCCGGUGGUAUGAGAUGGACCCGCGUCUGAUUAGGUAGUUGGUGGGGUAACGGCCUACCAAGCCGACGAUCAGUAGCCGACCUGAGAGGGUGACCGGCCACAUUGGGACUGAGACACGGCCCAAACUCCUACGGGAGGCAGCAGUGGGGAAUAUUGCACAAUGGGGGAAACCCUGAUGCAGCGACGCCGCGUGAGCGAUGAAGUAUUUCGGUAUGUAAAGCUCUAUCAGCAGGGAAGAAAAUGACGGUACCUGACUAAGAAGCACCGGCUAAAUACGUG
rnacentral:rRNA from 1 species